UGGGGAAUAUUGGACAAUGGGGGCAACCCUGAUCCAGCCAUGCCGCGUGAGUGAUGAAGGCCUUAGGGUUGUAAAGCUCUUUCGCACGCGACGAUGAUGACGGUAGCGUGAGAAGAAGCCCCGGCUAACUUCGUGCCAGCAGCCGCGGUAAUACGAAGGGGGCUAGCGUUGUUCGGAAUUACUGGGCGUAAAGGGCGCGUAGGCGGCGCAUCAAGUCAGGCGUGAAAGCCCCGGGCUUAACCUGGGAAUUGCGCUUGAGACUGCUGUGCUUGAGUACCGGAGAGGUGGGUGGAAUUCCCAGUGUAGAGGUGAAAUUCGUAGAUAUUGGGAAGAACACCGGUGGCGAAGGCGGCCCACUGGACGGUUACUGACGCUGAGGCGCGAAAGCGUGGGGAGCAAA
rnacentral:rRNA from 1 species